rnacentral:rRNA from 1 species
GGGCGCAAGCCUGAUGCAGCGACGCCGCGUGAGGGAUGACGGCCUUCGGGUUGUAAACCUCUUUCAGUAGGGAAGAAGCGUAAGUGACGGUACCUGCAGAAGAAGCGCCGGCUAACUACGUGCCAGCAGCCGCGGUAAUACGUAGGGCGCAAGCGUUAUCCGGAAUUAUUGGGCGUAAAGAGCUCGUAGGCGGUUUGUCGCGUCUGCUGUGAAAGACCGGGGCUCAACUCCGGUUCUGCAGUGGGUACGGGCAGACUAGAGUGCAGUAGGGGAGACUGGAAUUCCUGGUGUAGCGGUGAAAUGCGCAGAUAUCAGGAGGAACACCGAUGGCGAAGGCAGGUCUCUGGGCUGUAACUGACGCUGAGGAGCGAAAGCAUGGGGAGCGAACAGGAUUAGAUACCCUGGUAGUCCAUGCCGUAAACGUUGGGCACUAGGUGUGGGGGACAUUCCACGUUUUCCGCGCCGUAGCUAACGCAUUAAGUGCCCCGCCUGGGGAGUACGGCCGCAAGGCUAAAACUCAAAGGAAUUGACGG